rnacentral:rRNA from 1 species
AUUGAACGCUGGCGGAAUGCUUUACACAUGCAAGUCGAACGGCAACACGGACUUCGGUCUGGUGGCGAGUGGCGAACGGGUGAGUAACAUAUCGGAACGUAUCCAAUGAUGGGGGAUAACGAGUCGAAAGAUUCGCUAAUACCGCAUACGCCCUACGGGGGAAAGCUGGGGACCUUCGGGCCUGGCGUUAAUGGAGCGGCCGAUAUCUGAUUAGCUAGUUGGUGAGGUAAAGGCUCACCAAGGCGACGUUCAGUAGCUGGUCUGAGAGGACGACGAGCCAGACUGGAACUGAGACACGGUCCAGACUCCUACGGGAGGCAGCAGUGGGGAAUUUUGGACAAUGGGCGCAAGCCUGAUCCAGCCAUUCCGCGUGAGCGAAGAAGGCCUUCGGGUUGUAAAGCUCUUUCGCAAGGGAAGAAAACUUAGCCACUAACAUUGGUUGAGGUUGACGGUACCUUGAUAAGAGGCACCGGCUAACUACGUGCCAGCCGCCGCAGUAA